GCAAGUCGAACGGCAGCACGAAGAGCUUGCUCUUUGGUGGCGAGUGGCGGACGGGUGAGUAACACUUAGGAAUCUAUCCAGUAGCUGGGGAUAACGUGGGGAAACCCACGCUAAUACCGAAUACGCACUACGGUGGAAAGAGGGGGAUCUUUCGGGACCUCUCACUAUUGGGUGAGCCUAAGCCGGAUUAGCUAGUUGGUGGGGUAAAGGCCUACCAAGGCAACGAUCUUUAGCGGGUCUGAGAGGACGAUC
rnacentral:rRNA from 1 species